AGCCUUCUACCACUCCUUGAGGGACUGGCAGGAGCAAAGACCUUUCCUAAACCCCUCUCCAUUACUCUUGGAAAGCAGCUAUUUUUCACCUCAGAUUGCACAGGCUGUAACUGCAACAGGAUGAAAUACAGCAGAAGGUGCUUGAGGGAACAAAGACAACAAAGUUUACACCUUGCUGAAAUGACAGUAGGGCCAAGAGAAGGAGAGGGAGAAGGAUUCGUCUCCAUAGUGCACCUGCUCAGGAUACUGGCAGCCCUUAACAUCAGAUGGCCCACAGAUCAGCUGCCCUGAACCAAGGAAAAUUCAGUUUUGCUCAUUUAAGUUUUUCCAUUCCUUUCUCCUGCAUUGCUUCUCCUCACCCUCCAUGCACCACUAACCCAUGGAAGCAACUGUGAGUCUGGGAUCUAGCUGCUCAUAUCAGUCACAUCUCUGUGGCGUCACGUAAGGAGCUUGUCUAAACACUCAGUUAGUAACUGGGAAUGGGAAGCUGGUAGGUGAAACCUAUGACCUGCUCCAGCAAGACUGCACAGACUUAAAAUUGAUUCUAAUGUUACAGGAACUCAGUGUGUUCAAAUUUUAGCCCUCCAGGGACUAAGGCUACUACUGUCUCCCAUAUUCAUCUCCUUUUAAAGUGCAGGAGAGUUCUUACACUGAGAGAAUUCAUUCCUGUGCUUCUAAAUUUCUCCCACAGUGUUUUGUUGCUUGUUUGUUGCUGCCUAUUGUGUUUUUUCUUCUUAAGCUGCACUGACAGAUGCAGAGAUAUGUGCAUAUAUAUGUGCACAGAGAGGCAGGAAGGGUAAGAGUGUUGACCCUAGGAGGAGGUAAAAGCUAUAGUCUGUAACCAUGACUCUGAUAGUCACAGCUUUGUAGGGAAUGAUUUAUAACUUUCAACUGGAUAUAAAAGAGAAAUGGACAGAGACACACACAAAUCUACGUUUAUAUAUUCAUAAAUAUACUUUUGCGUGUUAAUUGUACCAAAGCUGCCAGGCAAAACUGCUGCCUGACCUUGUGCUGCUUAGCUAUUGGGAAUGUAAUAAAAUAAAAAGUGAUAAAUACAAAACAGUGCUAGAUCAGCAGCAUGCUUGGCUGCAAUGGAGGUAAAGGCCAUGACUGAUUCGGCUUCUGCGUUCUGCUGAGUAAUGUGCAUUUUCCCCCGGAGAUGGAGCACAGCAGAGGCUCACACGUUCUGAAGAGGCUGAGCCUUUAGGUGGAGCUCACGUCCUGCCUGGCCGCUGGAGGCUGACUCGGCUUGUGGGAUUAGGAUGGCGGUGCUGAAGCUGUGUGAUUGGGAAGAAGGCCAUUGUAUGUUUAGAGUGCACUGGAAAACAUGAAGAAGCAGUCUCUUGUGCAAAGCUUUGUGCUCCGCUAGGAAAAUGUGGCAGGUUUGUUUCUACUGCGAACUUUGUUGGUUCCCACUUCUACCUGUCU
ensembl:lncRNA